rnacentral:misc_RNA from 1 species
AAGUCGUAACAAGGUUUCCGUAGGUGAACCUGCGGAAGGAUCAUUAGUGAAUAUAGGACGUCCAACUUAACUUGGAGUCCGAACUCUCACUUUCUAACCCUGUGCACUUGUUUGGGAUAGUAACUCUCGCAAGAGAGCGAACUCCUAUUCACUUAUAAACACAAAGUCUAUGAAUGUAUUAAAUUUUAUAACAAAAUAAAACUUUCAACAACGGAUCUCUUGGCUCUC